rnacentral:piRNA from 1 species
UGGGUCAGCUUGGAUGGGAUGAGGGA